GUGAUAGCAGAGGUAUGUGGAAAGGAUGUAACAACCAAGACUCUUCUUCCUACUGUUUUAGCCAUGGCAGCCGAUAACGUACCAAAUGUGAGGUUUAAUGUUGCUAAAUGCCUUCGAGUAGUAGGUCCUCAUAUAGAAAAAGAAGCCCUCCAUGCACAAGUAAAGCCAGUUUUGGAACGUCUAAAUGAUGACCCAGAUACAGAUGUCAAAUACUUUGCUGCAGAGGCAAUGGAAGAAAAUGGUCUAAUCUAAAUGGCCUUGUAUUUUCUAGCCUAUGGCUAAGAAAAAGUUGCUGCUGUAGUAUCUUCUGGUAAGAUUUGAAGGAACUUCACAUGUAGUGGAGUCUCAUUCACAAAAUUUUUGUAAAUACACAUAAGGAAAGAAUUGGCUCUGCACAGAAUUAGGAUUCAUUGAUCAAACUGAACAAAUACUUAAAUAAAAGAAAGGAUGAAAUCAUUCUUUCUGACUAGUGCCCCACAGAAUCUGUUGAGCUAUUACCUUCUGCUCUAGCUGGGGCAUUCCCAUAGAAGAAAAACAUGCAGGUUCUGUAUGGUGUAUGGGAAUGUAAUUGAUAGGAAGUAAAUAUGGAUAGUGUAUAUUUAGAAUUUCUCUCCAUACGUUGAAAAGGCAGAGAUUUUAAGUAACCCGUAGAACAUUCAAGCUAAUGCAAGUUUUUUGAAUGUGUGUGUGUGUGUUUGGUGGAAUGAGGUGCCUGAGUCAAUUUGCAUAUUAGAAACCCAAAGUGAAAUUUACCCCUUGUAUAAUUUAGCAUAGAAAUACCAUGAUCCUGACAUUAAUUUUAAGUAGAUCAUUCUCUUUGAGUGGUAUUGUUGUUGUUGUUGUAUUUUUUUUGUGUAACACCAUUGUCUUGCUUUUUUGUAGCCUUCAAUCCCAUUUCCUUUCUAAAUCAAGUCUCUGUGCCUGUACCUCCAUACACCUAGCAAGCUUUGUCAUUUGUUUAACCACUCCUUGGCCCCCCUUUCCCCAUAAGGUUAUGUUGUAGGAUAUUUAAACGCCAUUGGUCUUGGAUACUGUAAGCUUUACAAACUGGGUUGGAAGAAAGACUGGUGCAUCACGAGGUUCCAAACCUGGUCGGGUAUCAGCUUCCACCUCAUAUAUGCACUAGUUGCCAGAUGCCACAGAUUCCUUGCUUUACAAAGUUUUAUUGUUUUUAACCAGUUUCCAGCUGGCGCUAGAAGAUUAUCCUGUUGUUAAGAU